rnacentral:lncRNA from 1 species
CCUGUAUCAGCUCCAUCAGAAGCACCAUGCUGCUCUAGAGGGACAGACAAACCAGAAGUGAGACACCAGAGAUACCAAGUGCUAUCUUUGAAAAAUGGACUUUUAAAAAACAUCAGGUUUGACUUGGAAAGCAGAACCUGUCAGAAGAUGCUGAACACCAACCAGCACCAUCCUUUUUCCACUUUCCUUUGGCACUAAGUUCAAAGUGAAACUUCACAAGAGAUUGCAGCUGUGUCCUUUGAGCCCUGUGACUCAGCACCAGCACGACAGCCUCACACAUGAGGAAAUGCGUGUGCAAAAAACACUUUCUAGGAGGCUUCUGCCUAAUGCUGGGAAGCACUGAUGCACUCUGGCUCCAGGGAGAGGUAAAAGGUUGAUUGCCACCCACUCAAUAACCAUUUCCUUCUGCGUGAUCGAUGGAGCAUCAUCGGAGCCCCGUCUGGUGACAGCCCCAUCCAGAAGUGCAUGAACACAGAUGAAGAAGAGGCAUCAGCCUGUGUAACAUCUCAGAUGGCUGUGGAAGGUGACAGAAAGAAGCAAGACUUGACAGACAGUGAAGGAGCCGUGCAGAUGGGAGUGGAUGCUCUGGGGAACAUUCUAAUGUUGAAAACAUUUACAGAAUAUUCAUUCAAUCUGUGUGCCCAGUCAGAGAUGCAGUGGAUACAUAAUUUUUACAGACUUAAACAGUGAGAAGACAUUACAUGACUAAAAUGAAGUAGCUCAAAGAAAAAUUCACCAAUGCCCCAAAUCCACCAAAAAUGCCCCAAAGAAAGGGCAAGCUGACUUGGAAAACCAGGAGCCAUCUCUACUCCUACCAGCUGGAGCUUCUCCCACUUCUACAGCCAUUAAAGUUAUGAAAUGUUUGGAUGUUUUACUAAUUCUAUUAAGAAGCAGAAAGGCUGUUCCCACCAUGACCAGAAAAUGAAACAGCAGCAAUCACACGGGAAAACGCUCAACUUCCCAGACUCAGCGGUUUUAUUAGUGCAAAUACCCUCCAGACAGACAGCCACACAUUUUCCUGCUUCCUUACACUGAACCCUAAUUCAGCCUGGGGUGGCUAAGCUGGUGCUACUAACCUUCUUCUCCAGCUCAUUUCACCUGCCGGAAGGAGUGGCCUGCUGAUGAGGAUUUUGACCAAGGAUUCUAACACAUUUGUUGUUUAUUUUGUCUCUCUUUCUUUUGUGGAUUGCCUGAGUAACUUUGGGCAAGUUGUUGGUGUCCCAGCUCCCCAGCUAUGAAAUGGAAAUAGUAUGCUGAAAAACUGCAUCAAGAAAGUUAAUUUUGAUGAACCUGGUAUAUGCUGCUAAUAAAAAUUUUGGAAACACCA